UUUUAAAAUUGUUCGAAAAAUGAAAAUAUUAUGCAGAUAGUGGUUAGAACUAGAGGUCUCGAACAGACUUUAUGCUAAGCAAUAGGAAAAGCCCUAGGGAGGAGAAAGACUAGUGACGAUGAUAAUGAUGUCUCAGCGGCGAAGGCCUACCGCAUCUGCCCGUAGGCAGCGACAAGAGGCGCGUAUUGUUGAGGAUCCUCGUACGAUCGUAGAGGAAUUAAAUGAAGAGCAGCAACAACCACAUGUUGAAGGUGUUAUUGAUGUUGAAGGUUUUCCAGGUGGACCCCAUGUCACAUCAGUUUUGAGAGAUUUUGAAAAUCACGUUGCUUUGAGAAUUUGGAAUGGAGAGGUAUAUAAAUCUUAAAAAACAUAAAGCACGUAGAAGAUGGCUAAGUUCGGUAGGCCUGCUCCAGAGAUUGAAGGCCUUGUGGUUGUCAGCGGACUAUGUCCUUUGAUCGCAUGUUCCCUAGAUAUGGGCGAUCAAGGACUUAUGUCUGCUUUCGUGGAAUGCUGACAUAAGAAAACUAGUAGUUUCCAUUUGCUCAUAGGAGAGGCGACUAUCACCUUGGAUGAUGUGGCGUUGUUGCUGCAUUUGCUGAUCAUAAGGGCAUUCCAUAGCUUCGAGCAGCUUCAUGUCGACGAUGUUAUCCAUAUGUUGGUUGAAUUACUCAAGGUCAGCAUUGUAGAGGCAAGAGCUGAGACGAUUCAAUGUCAUGGCUCUUAUGUUCGACUAUCCUGUCUGUGUGAUGUGUAUCAAACAAAAAUUGACGCAUGUAACUAGAUCAUAGCAGCGUGAGCGUAUUUGUUGUAUCUGCUUGGAUGCAUACUCUUUGCUAACAAGAGUGUCACACACGUGCACGUGGUAUUCUUGGAUGCACUACGUGACUUGACGCAGAGUGAGACUUAGGGCGCUACUACACUUGUGUAUAUGUAUGAUAAUUUAAAUAAGGCGUCAAAGAGCACAACGAGGUAGCUUGCAGGAUAUGUCACACUCUGUUACAGUGUUGGAUCUACUGGCAUUUCUCGUCUGUUGAUUUCGCAAUAGCUAUCGAGGAUUAUGACCAGCAGAGACCGCGUGCAUGUCGAUGGACCUCUAGCAAGGCGUUACCCGUGUCGACAUAUCAUAGGCGUCUGAAUAGACUGACCCCUGAUGUUGUGUGUUGGAUUUCAUAUGGUGACCAUCGUUCAUUUAGAGAAUUUGAGGUCAUCUUCUUGUUUUCCAACCAUCUCAUAUGGAGCCCCUUGACACUCAUUCACCAACCAGAGAAGGUUGUACAACAGUUUGGGUACAUCCAGACCAUUCUGCCACAUCCUGUUGUGCCUUAGACUUCUGUUGAAGAAAUGGAUGCUAGAUGGAUGCAGUUUGGUGACUAUAUUGCACCUGUGGGACAAAUUUGUGUAGUGCCUGACCAGUGUUCGUUAAAUUACAUGGAGUAGUUCUACAUGAUUUCACAUUUGUUUAUGACUCCGACACAACCAGGGGAUCCUCUUAGAGUUUCGCCGAUUCGGCAAUAUGACAUAUUUGUUGAACCAAAUGUGCAUUAGCAACCGGUGGCGGCAGUGACACCUGAUGAACCAGACGUUGAUGUGCAUCAUUCUCAAUAUGCAGUGCAUGGUUAUGUAGAAAUUGUUGAUAAAUUAGAGAGGCUAUUGAACCUGAGGAUCUUGACCGAAGGAAUAGAAGCCUAUACUAUUGUUGAAGAAUGUUUGAGCAUCGCCAGAAGCUACAUUGGCCAACUAACUAGAGGUCACAGAUCGAGGCUUGGGCAGCGUAUGGACGAUCAUGGAAGUUUUUUUUUGCCUUAUAUAUGCUAUUUUUAAUUUUGUGGAUAAUUUUUUAUUUGGUACAUUUAUUUAUU